GACGAACGCUGGCGGCGUGCCUAAUACAUGCAAGUCGAGCGGACGAAUCGAAAGCUUGCUUUUGAUUCGUUAGCGGCGGACGGGUGAGUAACACGUGGGCAACCUGCCCUGUAGACGGGGAUAACACCGAGAAAUCGGUGCUAAUACCGGAUAACACGAAAUGUCGCAUGACGUUUCGUUGAAAGACGGCGCAAGCUGUCGCUACUGGAUGGGCCCGCGGCGCAUUAGCUAGUUGGUGAGGUAACGGCUCACCAAGGCGACGAUGCGUAGCCGACCUGAGAGGGUGAUCGGCCACACUGGGACUGAGACACGGCCCAGACUCCUACGGGAGGCAGCAGUAGGGAAUCUUCCGCAAUGGACGAAAGUCUGACGGAGCAACGCCGCGUGAGCGAAGAAGGCCUUCGGGUCGUAAAGCUCUGUUGUUAGGGAAGAACAAGUAACGCAGUAACUGGCGUUACCGUGACGGUACCUAACGAGAAAGCCACGGCUAACUACGUG
rnacentral:rRNA from 1 species